rnacentral:tRNA from 1 species
AUUAAAGGACAAUUUAUACAAGGAGGAGAUUCGAAAAAGUGUUUGUAAUAAUCGAAACUAAUAUAGU